AUUGAACGCUGGCGGCAGGCCUAACACAUGCAAGUCGAACGAGUGGCGGACGGGUGAGUAAUGUCUGGGAAACUGCCUGAUGGAGGGGGAUAACUUCUGGAAACGGUAGCUAAUACCGCAUACCAUCAGAUGUGCCCAGAUGGGAGUAGCUAGUGGGUGGGGUAACGGCUCACCAAGGCGACGAUCCCUAGCUGGUCUGAGAGGAUGACCAGCCACACUGGAACUGAGCAACGGUCCAGACUCCUACGGGAGGCAGAAGUGGGGAAUAUUGCACAAUGGGCGAAAGCCUGAUGCAGCCAUGCCGCGUGUAUGAAGAAGGCCUUCGGGUUGUAAAGUACUUUCAGCGGGGAGGCGUUACCCGCAGAAGAAGCACCGGCUAACUCCGUGCCAGCAGCCGCGGUAAUUC
rnacentral:rRNA from 1 species